UCCAGGUGGACAGCUGCAGAUCUGAUCACCGCCUAUUUUUACACAAGAACCUCCAUUCAAGCAAGCAUCACCAGAACAGGAGUGAACACCUGCAGUAAGAGAGGGAGGAUAUAGGCAUGUCAUACCAAAAUAAUGGUAUAGGUAUAAAAAGUACAGUAUAUGCAUUCUGUUAAUUUGGACUUUAAAACAGUGUUUACAUCCUACCUGGAAUAUCAAAUGUCUGCCCGAUCAUUGUGUAUGGAAGGUCUGCUGUACUGUGUGUUGUGCUUUCAUUCUGUAUACUUGGAGGUGGGCUUUUAACCAAAGCGACCUCAGAAACAUCUUCAAGGGAGGGAAAUGGUGUUGUAAUCUCACUCUGGGUGGUAGGUACUAACGAUGUCAUCUGAUAUUCAUUAUGAAUUGGAAUCUCAGUUGUAAGAGUUACAGCUUCCUCAAUCUGACCAGCUGCUUCUUGUUUCCUUGAGGCAGUUUCUUUACUAACAAUCUUGAUAUCAGACUCAGGUGUCAUAAGUAAAGGUGAGGUUGUUGCAGUAGACAGAAUUACUGCCUGAACCUCAUCAGAUGAUGGGAUAAUAACUGAAUCCUCAUCUGAGCUGCUCUUCCAACUACUGGAAGUUACAAAUCCAUCAAACUGAGGUUGUAUGGUGGUGCUGAAUCCUGUGUCAACUCUUUUUUCCAAGAAUUUCUCUUCACUUAUAGCAGCGGAACUUGGUUUAUCUGUGACAUCAGAAAGUCUUGUUGUAAUGUAAUGCUUAUUGGAUGAUAUGGUGUUUACUUCCCCAGAUGUGCUUCUCUCUGAACCACUUGUUCCACUGUUUGGUGAGCUGGUGACUGAAGCAUCACUCUCAGUUCUUGAGACACUCUCAAAAGAAGUUUCACUCUCAAUGUCUGGUUGCAUGGUAGUCUCAAUGCCAGUGUCAAUUUUUGAUUCUGGGCUGGUUUCAAAGCUAGUUUCAACUUCAAGCUGUGAGGUGGUCUCAAAACUAGUCUCAACAUCAGGCUGUGAGGUGGCCUCAAAGCUUGUCUCAUCAUCAGGCAGUGAGGUGGUCUCAAAACCAGUCUCAACAUCAGGCAGUGAGGUGGUCUCAACAUCAGGCUGUGAGGUAGUCUCAAAACUAGUCUCAACAUCAGGCUGUGAGGUGGUCUCAAAGCUUGUCUCAUCAUCAGCUAGUGAGGUGGUCUCAACAUCAGGCUGUGAGGUGGGGAAACUCUUCUUACCUUCAGGCUGGGUGAUGUCAUCAAUGCUAGUCACAUCUUCUGAGCUAAUUUCUAGGUCAGUCUCGCUGUCAAUGUUUGUUUUGUUCAUUAAAUCUGGUAUGGAAUGUACUGUUACGUAAGGUUCAGUUUUUGUAUCAUAAUCAAUUAUUUCAUUUGUCUCUUUCUCAGAGGAAAGUGGAGCUCCUGUUUUGUUACCCAGUCCUGGUAUGGAUGUAGAUGAAGGAGAUCCCACUAAUGUUACUGUGUCUGUAGUCAUAUUAAACUUUAAAGCAGAUAUAAGAGGUGUGGGGAUGGUUGUUGAUGGAGAUGGCACUGUCAUUUCAGACAAAGCUUGUUGAUAUGGUUCCCCAUCAGUUACUGUAAUUGCUUCAGGCAAAGAGGUUGUUGCAAAGUGACUCACAAUAUCAGUCUUCAUAGGUGAUGACAACGAAUCAUCUUCAGAUAUUAAAGGAGAGUCUGUUAAAUCAGAUAGUUCUGUAACCAUUUCAAUUGUUUGAUCACCUGAGCCAUAAUCUGUUGAAGAAAAUAAUGCACUUGUGGUUUCCUCUGAAAUACCAGAUCUAGUUAAUACAUCUGUGCUUGUUAAUUCACUCCCUUGAAUUACCUUAUCAGUAGAGGGACUACUGAGUUCAAUGUCACCAGCACUUGUCAUGUACAAUGUUUCCUCUGUGUCAGCUGUUAAGUCAUUAUCAUCAGUUGCUGCUGUUUUUGUGUAUGUACUUGUAGUUGUUUUGGCAGGUUCAGUCAUGCUAGCACUUGAUGCAGUAUGGAAAGAUGCAGUACUCAUUAAAUCCAAUACUAGAGAAACUGACUGUUCAGAGUCUGUGAUAUCACCUGGAUGUUGUGAAGAAACACUUUCUCCAGAACUUGAUGGGGCAGAUGUUACAUCAUCUCCAGUAUGUGUUGAUAUAUCUUCAGAUGAGUCCUCUUCAGCUGAAAACAUUUCUAUGACUCCGUCUGUGGACACUUGAGAUGUCAUGGGGGUUAAAGUGGAUGUUUCUAAAAUAUAAUCAUCCGUAGACAAAGUGUCUCCUGAGUGUCUCAUUGUAAGUUCUGUGGAUUCUGUGUAGAUCUGACCAUCUUGUGUGUGUUCAGGUACAUCAGCAUCAGUAGCCUCAG
ensembl:lncRNA